rnacentral:piRNA from 1 species
CAAAUGGAAGCCUCUCGUGU